AUGUGGAGGCCCGGGCGCGCGGAGCUGCGUGGGGGAAGGAAACGGCGCCCCUGGCGCCGGCCCAGCCCCCACGCUCACCGUCUCGCCCCAGGACCCCGAGGCCCGCGCUGCCCUCUGGCCCCUCGGAAGGACUGGAGGCGCAAGCACAGGCUGCUGCCGCGAUACUCCGCGCUGCGCACCGCGGGCAGAAAACGCCGCGGACCGCCUUCCGGUUCGCUCAGCACUACCGGGUUCCGCCCCGCCCGCUGCGAUCCGGUUCCGCUCCCCCCAGCCCGCUCUGUGGCGGGGCUUCCGGUCGGGCGGGUCCGCCCGCUCUCGUGCCCUUUGCCGGGUCCAGACACCGGUUCCGUUGCAAACAUUUUUAAAGGGCUGGUUAUUCUUCGUGAAAUGAGUUUGGUGAUUAGAAAUCUGCAGCGAGUCAUCCCCAUCAGGAGAGCGCCACUUCGCAGUAAGAUCGAGAUUGUAAGGAGGAUUUUAGGAGUGCAGAAAUUUGACCUGGGGAUCAUCUGUGUUGACAACAAGAAUAUUCAGCACAUUAAUAGAAUCUACAGAGAUAGAAAUGUCCCAACCGAUGUGCUUUCUUUUCCAUUUCAUGAGCAUCUGAAAGCAGGUGAAUUUCCCCAGCCUGAUUUUCCAGAUGACUACAAUUUGGGAGACAUUUUCCUAGGAGUGGAGUAUAUCUUCCAUCAGUGUAAAGAAAAUGAAGAUUACAAUGACGUCCUGACUGUGACGGCCACCCACGGACUCUGUCACUUGCUGGGCUUCACACACGGCUCGGAGGCAGAGUGGCAGCAGGAACUGGACCUCAGACCUGCCCUUGUAAAAAUGACACAGAUGUUUGCUUUCAACACCGGGCUCCCCAAAUACUUCCAGCUGAAUGUGUUCACUAAGGAAAGCGGUCUGAGUGCAGAGGCCGAGAGCCACAGCUGACACUAGCCAGUGGCGCUUGGUCAAAAAGGUCCAAUCAGCCAGACUAGGCCAGACCCAGGGCGGAGGCGGCAGCUCUGCGUGAAGUGAGUUCCAGAUGUUCCAGAAGGAGAAGGCGGUGCUGGAAGAGCUGGGCCGACGCACGGGGACCCGGCUGCAGCCCCUGACCCGGGGCCUCUUCGGAGGGAGCUGAGGGCCGCGUUCCUUCUGAAAGCGGGACGCGGGAGGGGUGGAGGCUGCGGGGAGCCGGGGUCGCACACAAAUAAAUAACGAAUGAAUGUA